ensembl:snoRNA small nucleolar RNA SNORA40
AGCACUUGUGUUUGUUUUUGUUUAAUUUGUGGGCAAAGACUACAUGCAGGUGUGAAAAAUAAAUCCUCUUUUGCAACCCAGAACUGUUCAGUAUGAGUUUUGUUAUAUGUAAGAAGGAACAUA